GUCCACGCCCUAAACGAUGUCUACUAGUUGUCGGGUCUUAAUUGACUUGGUAACGCAGCUAACGCGUGAAGUAGACCGCCUGGGGAGUACGGUCGCAAGAUUAAAACUCAAAGGAAUUGACGGGGACCCGCACAAGCGGUGGAUGAUGUGGAUUAAUUCGAUGCAACGCGAAAACCUUACCUACCCUUGACAUGGAUGGAAUCCUUGAGAGAUUGAGGAGUGCCCGAAAGGGAACCAUCACACAGGUGCUGCAUGGCUGUCGU
rnacentral:rRNA from 1 species